GUUUGUUGACAAGGCAUGAAGCCUUAAGCUCCUCCCACAUGGGGUGUUGUCCCGACUGAGAAAUUACUUUCACUUUCUCUUAACUCAGAACGGUGAGUGGACUUUUUAUGUCUGUAAAUCUACAUUAUAGUUGUGUAUUAAAGUUUAUUUUAAUUACGUUUAUAGCUUAGAAUAACUUGUAAUGCUGAGCCGUGCCUUUUUUUUCUUUUAUCUUAAAUGACUCGUGGUUUCUUCUCUCUUUCUCUUUAGUUUAUUGACACAGAACAUUUUUUAACCUUUUUUUUAUGAAAAAUCAUUUUAUUCCAAAUUUAAGAUAAAAUAACAGACCUCGUUCUUCAAAAGGUGGAAACAUGACGACUCUACUUGAGAAAAUAGAAAACUACGGCGCACAGGCAGCUUUUAAACUGAGAGGUGCAGGUUUUCAGACGGACUCUGAGAUUCAGACUCUGACUCCAGAAAAACUAGAAGAACUGUUUCCUGGACAAGAGAAUCUAAAUCUGAGAAAGGACAUCUUGAAAAUAAUUCAGAAUCAGGAGGAACGUAAAGGUGUCAUCGUCAUGACUUCCAUUUGUCACUUUGUCUCUUCUCUUCUAAAGAGAAUCCAAGGAUUUGUCAUCUGGAGUUUACGGCGCAUUGAUCGCAUUUUGGGUGGUUUUCCAAGCAGAUUCUUUGCACCAGUCUUCAGGACCAUUGAUCAAACUCUCUAUGGUUAUCCAAGCAAAACCUUAGGAUUUGUCUCCUCGAUUGUCAUUGAUCCUCUACUGAUGAUCCCAGGGAUUUUCAUCUGGAUUUUGCUCCCCAAUGAUAACACUUUCUAUGGUCUUCGAAAGGUAACCCUAGUCAUCUGGAUUGUAUGCUUCAUUGUCUUUCGUCUUACAAAGAGAACCUCAGGAGCAGUGAUGUACAAGAGGAGGGUCUAUGGUGAAACCUUUGGAGCUCAUCUUCAGCUUUUGGACCAAAUUCAGACUUCAGGAUUAAAUUUGAUUGAAGGAAAUGAUAAAGAAAGCUGCAUCACCAUCGUUUUCUGUCCUCUUACAUCUCGGAUUGGAACAGAUGCUGAAGCAGCCAUGAGGGUGGUUCCAGGUAAUGAUCCAGUCAUUCUGGUCCUCAUGCAUUACUUCCAGGAACCCAAACACAUCCCCUCCUCACAAGUCUUACCCAGUUACAGUUACCCUAACGUUGUCUUGGAGGUCCAUGUUUUCUACCAUGAAAGACAGAACGGUUUGUUGAGAUGUGACCAAAACGAGAAAGCUGUAAAUGAGUUAAAGGAAGAACUGAUGAAGCAUCACAGACCAUGAAGCUGUUACUCUGACAAUAAAGAUCAAAGCGACUGUUGUACUAUCCUGUCAUCAAAUCUGAUGUGUUGGUAACUUUGGUAUACAGUUGUUUUUGGUAACAGACUAAAUCUGUGUAGUGGUUAAAACCUGUUUUCUUUAACUGCAGAGACAGUUUUCACUUUUCAAAAAUGGAAUAAUUCACUUUUUUGCCUCUAUUUACAUUGCAUUAAUAAAUAAGGAACUUUUUUUUUUUUUUUUGUUACAUAAUUGAAUUCAAUUUACAAAAUAUUAAGAUGUUCUAUUGUGUGCUGCAGCACUAUGUUGUUAUGGAGAGGAAAUAUUAAAAGCCCUUUUGUGUUCUUCAAGUAAUGGAUUUCUAACCUUCAUUCUCAUUAACAAUAAAAUUCAAUUUCAUAAAUAGUCUGGAUCUUUGUUUUUUAAAUGUUUUAGUUUUACUGUAAUUUUUGCAAUAACAAACUGUAAGUGUGCAAUGUGUUCCUUAUCAACAUCCUUUUUUUUUUUUUUCUUUUUUCUAACUUGUCCUGUCCAACAGCUGAGCAAGCAGAUACGGGCUGAGAGCC
ensembl:lncRNA